UACGUAGGGGGGCAAGCGUUGUCCGGAUUUAUUGGGCGUAAAGAGCGUGUAGGCGGCCUGGUAGGUCAGCUGUGAAAACUCGAGGCUCAACCUCGAGACGUCGGUUGAAACCACCUGGCUAGAGUCCGGAAGAGGAGAGUGGAAUUCCCGGUGUAGCGGUGAAAUGCGCAGAUAUCGGGAAGAACACCCGUGGCGAAGGCGGCUCUCUGGGACGGUACUGACGCUGAGACGCGAAAGCGUGGGGAGCGAACAGG
rnacentral:rRNA from 1 species